rnacentral:rRNA from 1 species
GCUUUGAUUGCCUCUGCCCUCCUCAAGGUGGUUGGGGAUCAGAUCGGAUCCGUUCUCGGCGGCCAGAUCAAGCUGCAUCGCAAGUUCGACAAGGACCUGCGGAGCAUGAAGGAGACGCUCGAGUGCGUGGAGGCGGUACUGCUAGACGCCGAGAGGCGGGCCAUCACCGACCACGAGGUCCGUCUGUGGCUCAAGCGGCUCAAGGACGCCAUGUACGCCAUCUCCGACCUGCUCGACGAUUUCCAAGUAACACGGAAGACAACUAUUCCCAAGAUUAAAAUGGCUAAUAAGAUGAAGAUGAGAGAGCAUGUGGCGGAGAUCACAGCUCAACACAAGGCCUUCAACUUAAUGGCAGGGACUGGUGCCAAUGAUCAAAAAGUUACUGAUGGACGGGUAACAACAUCAUGGAUCCCAGAGGCACAGAUCAUCGGGAGGACCGAUGAGGAAGAGAAAAUACUGACUUCUUUAUCUAAGAGCGUUACAGAGCAGACCACCUUUCUUGCUAUGCAUGGUAUUGGAGGCCUAGGCAAGACAACCAUGGCCAAAAUGAUCUACCAUUAUAAUUCCCGGUUCCAUGACUACUCAAGGGUGUGGGUUUAUGUGUCUCAGACAUUGGAUUUGACAAACGUUGGAAAUUCUAUAAUAUCACAACUUUCAGGGAAUAACAGUCAACUCACUCACAGGGAGAUGAUACGCAUUUCUCUUCAGAAGCUAUUUGCUGAAAAGCAGAAGAUUCUGAUUGUUUUAGAUGAUCUGUGGGAGGGCAGUGAUUUUCUUUUGGGUGAUCUGAAGACUUUGUUAACGGCUGAGAAGGGCAGCAAGGUGGUUGUUAUUGUAACCACACGUAACGAAGGCAUUGCAAAGAAAAUGUCAAUCCGUCCACACAAAUUAGCACCACUGACAAAUGAUAUGUGUUGGGCUAUAAUAAAGCACAAAAGUGGCUUUGAAGAUAAAGAUGACAAAGGUCAGUUGGAGCAGAUUGGGAUGGACAUUGCAAUGAAAUGUGGAGGUGUGGGUUUAGCAGCUCAGUCACUUGGGUACAUGUUGAAUUCUAUGCCAACAUCUCGUGAAUGGGAGUCAGUGAGAGACAAUGAUAUAUGGACUCUAUCUGCUUUAGAGUCAGAAGAUACAUCUUCAAGACACGUGAUGGCAUCCUUGAGGUUAAGUUAUAGUUCCAUGCCUUCGUAUUUGAAGCUGUGCUUUGCCUACUGUGCAAUCUUUCCAAAAGGUCACAAGAUUGUUAAGGAUGAUCUAAUUCACCAGUGGGUUUCUCUUGAUUUUAUUAAGCCAACAAGAACAUCCUACAGUCGUCAGCUCGGCGAAAAAUACAUUACGGAGCUUUUGGGUCUGUCGUCGUUCCUUGAACAUUCAAAGUCAUGA